AGCUACAUCCGUCACCUGACACGGCCCUACCAGGAACAGCCGCGCUCCCGCGGAUUCUGGUGCUGCUCGCGUCCCCGCUCCCCUAUUCCCCUUAUUUUAUUCCUGGCUCCCCUCGUCGAAAGUCUUCCAUUCUUCAAACUAGAUUAUUUAAAAAUGAAAAAGGAAGAAAGGAAAGCGAGGUCAUCUCAUUGCUCUAUCCGCCAAUCAGGAGGCUGAAUGUCAGUUUUGAACUAAAAGCCGCUCCGCUCCUCUUCUAGAUUUGGAAAACAAGCGAAAUUAAACUAAACCGCUGCACGCCUCUGACGCGACAUCUGGACACGGCGCGGCGCUGGCGCUGCCGGAGCUGUCGACCCGGCCUGGCGCCGGACUAGGACUAUUUGCCACGACAUUUCAAAGGAUUCCAAGAGAGAAUAUUGGUGUCCAUGCUGUGAUGAUUCCUCAGCUCCUCUCAUCUGAUCUCCGUCCUGGCCCCCAUGACUUUCUUUGUGGUAGUUAGGGUGUGGUAUGUGCCACUGAGGCCCACACCUAUUGCUGCAAUUUAUAGCACUGAUCUGUCAUCAAUACCACUUGCUGUCUUGGAUGUGAAGAUGAUUUUUCCUGCAGGGAUUCCCUCUACAAAAUUAAAAACACUGGGCAUGUGGAAAUAAUAUUCAUGCUUUAAAUUGUCUUUUCUCUUCACUACACCAGGGGUCCCCAACCCCUAGGCCACAGACUGUGGCCCUAGUGUAGUGAAUAGAAAAGACAAUUUAAAGCGUGAAUAUUAUUUCCUCAUGCCCAGUGUUUUUAAUUUUGUACUGGUCUGUGGCUUGUUAGAAACCAGGCUGCACAGCAGAAGGUGGGCAGCAGAUAUUGAGAAACCACAGAAAGAGAGAAGUUAAAUAAUUUUCCUGUCAAAGACCACAUCAAUGAUGAAGCCAGAAUUUGAGCUCAUGUACUUAACCACUGGACUACCUGCCUGCCCUGUCGAGGAACAGCUAAGUGUCCCUUUUGAUGAGAAGAAUAAGCCUCAUUCUGAUUCAACAGCAGAGAUCAAAGAAAAGACUUCUGUUUUCUGGCCACCAGAUAUAUGUUAUCUGUGCUUAAAGAAUUGAAAAACACACAUCAAAGGAGAAUUUUCUUGGAAAGAGAGGGUUCAAGCAUCACUGUUAGGUGUGCUGGAAUCCUUUCCCGAGUCAGUACUGCUUUCUAGAAGAAAACCGGGGAGAUCUAUUUGGAAUGUAUCUAACUCCAAAGAAACCAUCAGAGGUAACAGUAGAGACGGGGUUUCACCAUGUUGGCCAGACUGGUCUUGAACUCUCGACCUCGUGAUUCGCCCGCCUCGGCCUCCCAAAGUGCUGGGAUUACAGGUGUGAGACACCACACCCGGCGGAUAGAGAGAAUUUUGACAGGUGAGGAGGUAUUCCAAUGCAAAAGAAUAAUAGGAGCAAAAGCACAGUGGUGAGAAAUUGGAGGGGAACUGUGAAAAUUGCCACAUAGAUUAGAGGCAGGAAAAUAAAGGACGGCUAAGUUUAUAUAGUGAACAGUGAGCCGCAUGGACACAGGUGACUGUUUUCUCCUUUUUGAACCCCUGCUUACUCCAGAGUCACCACCUCUCCUGGCUUUCUGCCAAUCUUCUUGGCCACAGUUUCUCGGUCUUCUUUUCUGGCUUCUCUUCCUUGGCCUGAAUGCUACAUGUUAAGUGAUGUCAGCUUCAGUUUUCUUAACCUCUCUUCUCUUAAGUUGCUAUCAUUUAAAUAUCUUUAAAUAUCAUCUACAUCCAAGUGACCUCUAAACCAGUAAUUUUACCCAUGACCCAUCUCCUCAACUCCGGAUUGUAUAUAAAACUGUCUACUCAACAUCUUCACUUUUGAUGUCUAAAUCUCUAUGUCCAAUUUAGAAUUCUUGAUUCUUUGCUUUCCCUCCCUCCUGGAAAUCCUGCUCUUACCAGUCUUCCCCAUCUUAAUUAAUGAACCUGACAUUCACCUAGUAGCUUAGUCCUCAAAACUAGGGAUUAAUCUAGAUUUAGUCAUUUUUCUUACUCUUGCCAUAUAAUAACAUAUUAUUCUGAGUUUACCUUUACCCGACCCCAAAUAGGUAACUGCUGUUUUUGUUAUAAGAUAGUAAUAUUUGCCUCUGAGUGUAUGUGAAUUAUUUUGAUAAAAAUAAAUAUUAUUUUUAAAAUAUUAA
rnacentral:lncRNA from 1 species